rnacentral:piRNA from 1 species
UAACCUAUGUCUGGAAGUGUGUGGAUUG